rnacentral:lncRNA from 1 species
CAAAAGAUCUAAAUUUUACGUAAUGGAUCCCGUCCCGAUCGUCCCCUCACACGUGGCACUGCCGCGUAAACAAUGCCACAUCGUAGAGAAAGCAUAAGGGGGAGGCCAUCGGGAGAUUAUCCCGAGAAUUCAAACUAUUCUUGUAAUGUCGUACGAGCCUCGUUCCGUUCGCUCUUUCAUGCGCAGCAUUACCGGUGUAAAUGUAAUAAUGCCGCACAGUGAACAAGCAAAAGGGGAAGAGAGUCUCCGGAUAGCCGUUACAAUCCAGUAACGACUUAACGCAGAUUACUCCUGCAUAAGCGUCUCUGCGAUGAGGGGAGAAGAAACAUGGGGCAUAGACGAUGUGCUGCUGAGAGUCACAAUGCGGAUCAUCAGGGUCUCCCGUCACCUGGAAACCACCAGACCGUAGACUGAGUAUCCGAGGGAAACUGAAUAUAAAUCUGGCCCGAAUACAAGGAAUCCUGUUCGGGAUCCUCGGUGUUCAUUGGCCCUCUGCAGCUCUUCACAUGCUUCAUGGAGUUUGUCUACAUAGUCCGUCUGCUUCCUGCGUCUUCUCCGAGCGGCGUCACGAUUCCUUUUUCUCCUCCUUUCCAGCUUCUGUUUCUCCUCCUCAGAUAGGCCGUCAGGGAAGGGGUGUUUGGAGGGGCUGUUGGGGAUGUCGUGACUUUUCCUUUUUUUCCGUCUCGAAGUCGACCCGAGAGAAAGAUCGAGGGGGGACGGAUCGUCAGCGGGACUGUAGGGCAUAGCGCCCGGCUCUGGCUCCUGAGACAUCUCUUUACACCUGUACCGUGCCCGCCUUCUCCCUGGUAUACACCUGCAAGAGACGCCUGCCUAGGAAUCAGUGUGCGGAAUUUAUUCUUAACAUUCCAGCACCAACCUCCCCGAACCAAAAUAAUAAUUAAAAAAGCAACACCCACAGACCCGAAAGUAUUGAAGAAUUACACGUUCGCGAACGGUCACAAUUCACCUGUCAUUUUAUAAAGGAGCAAUAGUUUAUUUAAGAGAUCUACCCGAUAUGUUACACUCCCGGAGAUCAGGUCUCUUAGUUAUCCGGGAAUGAUUACCUUACCCGCACUUUGGUUCUAAAUGUCACGAUCGAAAAGCCGGCUGGUAGAGGGAUCGGGCGAAAAGAUCGGGGAGCGGACGGACUGAGCCUUAAGUAGAAUAACUGGCGCGCAGCCAGAUCCUGUAUGAAAGGAUGAGGCUGAAAAAUAUACAUACAUUCAAAAUAAUUAGAAAAACAAAGACAAUGAACGUCCCCGCUACACGUCCGCGUUCGUCUCGGCGACCGCCGUACUUCCGCAAUCGUUUACAGAAGCGUCAUAUCCGUUCUAUUUCCGCAAACAAAGACUUUGAGACAGGAUUUCCGUGUUGUCGUGUCCGGUCAUACAUUCUAUGUAAACAAGGAAGUUAUCCCCUUUGCUUCCGUAUUAUCGAUAAUCGGCUCCGAUCCCGAUUCCGCGGACCAAGCAUUGGCUGCAAACUAUAUCGGAAUGCGCCAGACCUUCUUUGCGCGUCUCCAGACACUUCUGCGAUCGCAGACGAAGAAGCCUGACGUAGGCGGACGGCAAACUUUCGCCAUGUGUACUGCUUGUAUGCUACAACGGCCAAUCGUGUUCCACAUGCAUGCGACUGCAUGUUUAGGUCUCACCCCUCUCGAACCCUACAACAUCUCCGCUCCAUGUGAUCCGAAGGGAGAUCGAAGAUCGUAGACUCUCUACAUACACCGGCCUCAAUAUACCACGACCGACAGAGAAAGUUGGGGAAGGUUGUCGCAGUAUCCGUUUCGAGAUGGAAAGUGGGUCCGCAGUCAAUGCAUCCGGGGUCUGCAACGAUAUCACAGCUGUAAUCAACACGGAUGUAUUUAUCAUGUACAAAGACGGAAGCGCGGGGACGUUGAUGGAGGAGUUGCAAACCUGACGUCACAAAACAGCUACGCAGCAAAAGCAGGUAAAGUAUAACCAUAAUCGUGCAACAACGCCCAAAUAGUUUAAAUGGUGCAAUUCGUCAAUAAAUGAAAGUUUCAUGUCGUGUAU